UCCCGUUUAGCUCAGUUGGUAGAGCGCGUCACUAGUAUUAUUAUGUAAUGACGAGGUCAGUCGUUCAAAUCGGCUAAUGGGAA